GGGAGCGACUUGGCUUCGACAGGAGUAAGUCUGCUUAGAUGGCAUGUCGCUUUGGGCAAAGCGUAAAAAGCCCAAAUAAAAUUAAACGCAAACAACGUUAAAUUCGCUCCUGCUUACGCUAAAGCUGCGUAAGUUCAGUUGAGCCUGAAAUUUAAGUCAUACUAUCUAGCUUAAUUUUCGGUCAUUUUUGAUAGUGUAGCCUUACGUUUGACAAGCGUUGAGGUGAAAUAAAGUCUUAGCCUUGCUUUUGAGUUUUGGAAGAUGAGCGAAGUAGGGUGAAGUAGUCAUCUUUGCUAAGCAUGUAGAGGUCUUUGUGGGAUUAUUUUUGGACAGGGGUUCGAUUCCCCUCGCUUCCACCA
rnacentral:tmRNA from 1 species